rnacentral:piRNA from 1 species
UACACUUACCUAGCCAGGGUCUCCUGA